rnacentral:rRNA from 1 species
CCUACGGGAGGCAGCAGUGAGGAAUAUUGGUCAAUGGGCGCGAGCCUGAACCAGCCAAGCAGCGUGAAGGAUGACUGCCCUACGGGUUGUAAACUCCUUUUAUAAAGGAAUAAAGUUAGGCACGUGUGCCCUUUUGUAUGUACUUUACGAAUAAGGAUCGGCUAACUCCGUGCCAGCAGCCGCGGUAAUAUGGAGGAUCCGAGCGUUAUCUGGAUUUAUUGGGCUUAAAGGGAGCGUAGGUGGGUUGUUAAGUCAGUUGUGAAAGUUAGGGGCUCAACCGUAGAAUUGCAUUUGAUACUGGCAAUCUAGAGUAGAGUUGAGGUAGGGAGAAUUCGAGGUGUAGCGGUGAAAUGCUUAGAGAUCAGGAAGAACACCGAUUGCGAAGGCAGCUUACUAAAC